UUUGUCAGAGAUCAGCUGUUCUGCUCUGGCCUCAGCUCUGAAGUCCAACAUCCAUCUGAGAGAGCUGGACCUUGGUUACAACAAUCUGAAGGGUUCAGAUGUGAAGCUGCUGAGAGAACUUGUGGAGAGUCCAGACUGCAAACUGGAGCUACUCAGGAUCAGAGGAGAGACGAUCAGAGCCACAAUCCAGAAGACCUGUGACAGGAAGUGAAGACACACAGAAAGUUUAUUCAUCACGGGGCGAGUUUGAGACGUGAAGAGGAGCGUGGAGGCAUUUUGGAAAAUAAAGAAGAAGGCUGCAGCUGAUGAGAGACUUCCUGUUGGCUCUCCUCAAUAUGAAAUGAACAAAAACAAUCAAUUGUACUUAAAGCUUUUCUUAAGAAGAAAGAUGUGUUGCACAUACACCUGCUGCUACCUACCACCACCUCCCACCCAUCCCGGCACCAAAGAGGAGACUCCAUCGACCCCAGAUACCCCAACUCACUCUUCUUCAGGUUAGCUUGGAGCCCCGCCUUUACCUGCCCCAACACCUCACUUUGAACGAUGUAGUCAUCCGGAUAUCUGCAUACUGAGAGUGGGACGCAGGAGCCGGUCAAUGAGCUGCUGGAAGGGGGUCCACUGGACUGGAGGGGCGCUUGGAUCUGGAGUAUUUGAACCUAGCUGGAGGGCUAUUGGUGCCCCCUGUGGACCCAAAGAGACUCUUUUGGUUGGGGUAAUGAGGUGGAAGUUAUCUGCACCUAUUAGUAGGAGAGGCUGCACUUUGGGAAAAGAGGGAAGGGGAAGGCCUUGUAGGCGGAGAUAGUGUUUCUUGAGUUCAUCCACAGGAUCACUCUAGUCCACAAGUGAAAGUCUGUCGGAGGUGAAUGUGUCUUUGAUGAGGAAUGUUUUCUUGGGAUUGAAAGAGGGUUAUAUCUCAAAGGUCACUGAGGCUCCAUUUCAGAAUAAUAUAUAUGAUAUGUUUUAUAAUGAUUGAUCAUUAAAGUGUUCUCAAAGCUG